UGGGGAAUAUUGGACAAUGGGGGGAACCAUGAUCCAGCCAUGCCGCGUGUGUGAAGAAGGCCUUAUGGUUGUAAAGCACUUUAAGCGAGGAGGAGGGUACUGGUAUUAAUACUACCAGGUACUGGACGUUACUCGCAGAAUAAGCACCGGCUAACUCUGUGCCAGCAGCCGCGGUAAUACAGAGGGUGCAAGCGUUAAUCGGAAUUACUGGGCGUAAAGCGCGCGUAGGUGGUUCGUUAAGUUGAAUGUGAAAGCCCCGGGCUCAACCUGGGAACUGCAUCCAAAACUGGCGAGCUAGAGUAGGGCAGAGGGUGGUGGAAUUUCCUGUGUAGCGGUGAAAUGCGUAGAUAUAGGAAGGAACACCAGUGGCGAAGGCGACCACCUGGGCUCAUACUGACACUGAGGUGCGAAAGCGUGGGGAGCAAACAGG
rnacentral:rRNA from 1 species